rnacentral:tRNA from 1 species
GGAUGAGUAGAGCUCAGUGCUAGAGCACAUGCUUGGCGUGCAUGACGUCCUGGGUUCAAUUCCCCAGUACCUCCA